rnacentral:rRNA from 1 species
UGGGGAAUAUUGGACAAUGGGCGAAAGCCUGAUCCAGCCAUGCCGCGUGUGUGAAGAAGGUCUUCGGAUUGUAAAGCACUUUAAGUUGGGAGGAAGGUCAUUAACCUAAUACGUUAGUGUUUUGACGUUACCGACAGAAUAAGCACCGGCUAACUCUGUGCCAGCAGCCGCGGUAAUACAGAGGGUGCAAGCGUUAAUCGGAAUUACUGGGCGUAAAGCGCGCGUAGGUGGUUUGUUAAGUUGGAUGUGAAAUCCCCGGGCUCAACCUGGGAACUGCAUUCAAAACUGACUGACUAGAGUAUGGUAGAGGGUGGUGGAAUUUCCUGUGUAGCGGUGAAAUGCGUAGAUAUAGGAAGGAACACCAGUGGCGAAGGCGACCACCUGGACUAAUACUGACACUGAGGUGCGAAAGCGUGGGGAGCAGACA